UUCUUGAAAGACAGUUGUAAAAUGAUUCAAUUGAACUGGAUCUGAACUAAUCAUUAACAAUUAAGUCUUAAAGUUUUAAGAAAACUGGGAAACAUUCCAGAGUACAGGGCCUGCAGAAAGUGCUUAUGACUCCAUUCUAUGAAUAGGAAAAAGAUGCUUACGUUGUAUAGAAUCAUUUGACUAGGAAGAGACCCUUAAAGAUCAUCUGGUCCAACUUCCCCACAAUAAACCAGGACGCUCUACAGCUACAUCAGGUUGCUCAGAGCUUCAUCAUUCAGCCUGAGCUGGAGUUUCUCCAGGGACAGGGCAUCCACCACUUCUCUGGGUAACCUCUACCAGUGCAUCAACUCUGUUAUUGUAAGACUUUUUAUUUAUUUAUUUUUAUGUCCAAUCUCAAAGUCUUCCCUCUCUUAGUUUGAGGCCAUUUCCCUUCAUCUUAUUACAACAGAUCCUGCUAAAGCAUCCAUCUCUCUCUUUCUUGUAGUUUCUGUUUAGAUACUGAUAUUGUGUGCACAUCCCAUUAAUUCAACAUAAGUUUUAUCUCCACUUAGAAUGAUUAUUUACAGCUUAGAAAAAUGAGCACAAGUGUUCUCAAGCAUUGCCUGUUUGAAAAGGUUUGUGGUUGUUUUUCUUUUUGUUUGUUGUUGUUAUUGUGGGGUUUUUCUUUUCUGUCCAUCUCUGAUGGACUGGAAUUAACCAGACAUUAGAAUUCUAACAUUAGUAACUGAGCCAUAUCCAAAGAGUAACAUUCAGCUUCCAUACCAAAGAAAGCAUAGAAGGCUGUAGACUUCACCCUUGUAAAUACUGUCCAGGCACUGGGUAGGAAACUGAUUUUCUAAGCCUGUAGUAUUUGGCAACUGCCAGCUUUAUUUUUGUCACUGGUUCAAGAGCCCUUGAACCACGAGGUCUUAAUGAUUUUACUAGAAUGAAGUUUACACUUCACAAGUACUCUGUGCACUUUAAUGAGUAACUGAAGACAACCAGGAGUGACUCCUGCAAAAGGGAAAAGCUCUUCUCUUUGUUAGUUAUUUGCAUUCACUGCACUUAAUUUUCUUUUGGGGCAAGAAAAAUUACCUCUAGAGCCUGUAGGAAUAUCCUGUUUUAGGACAAAGGUGUGCAUGAUGUGAAUUACUCUCAGGGAUUUGUUCUGUAAACAACUCCUCCCUCCCCAGAAGAGUUGUCAUGUGAACCAGAGCAGCAAUUAAAAAUAAACUGAAGAAUCAUCAAAUGAAACCCACAAAACUUCAGUUUCUUUAGCAGACAAGACAACAGCUCAGGCAGACACUAGCUCCUUUGGGAUUAGUGACAGACAUCACCGAGUUAAUACCUUCAGUUGAACUCCAGAUUUGUUCCGACACUAUAAAAACUUUACGAUGAACGGUUGCUUAUAAGUAUGUUCAAUGAGUUGCAUUAUAUAGCUUAGGAAAAUAACCCAGGAUGUGAUUCAGUGGUUCCUCUCACUUGAAUGCCCAGAGAAUGAACUCUGUGGUAAAAGCUCUUUCAAGGCCUCCGAGAGAUGCCCAGCACUGAGCUUGACCAGCUCAGUCAAACCAAUGCUAUGUUCUUGGGAAGAGCCAUAACAUGCUAUGCCAACCUAGGUUAACCUCAGUUCUUUUUCUCUUCUCAUCCUGGUAUUCUGAGUAUAUGAGCUUUCAUUUUCAGACUCACUAUUCUCAGUGUCUACAUGCCCAACAUAGCAAACACAAUAGCUAUCAAUUGAUCUCUUUUACCUCUAAAGCUCACAGCUUUGCUGUAAAUAUCUACUGAACUUCAUCUGCUCUACAGCUUCCCUCCUGAUCUCAGCUUAUGGGAAGGUAUAGAUCCAGCAGACUGUAGAGUCACAAUUUGGGCAGGAAAUGCGUACUCAAGGAACAGGUCUGACAGGAAAAAAAGAAAACUAACUAGUAUACCUAUGUGAAAUUGUGUAUUCAUACCACUAAUAACAUCAGCAUGUCUUGAAGAAAGGUUGUUUCUACAGUUCAUGAAUGAGAGAGAGAGAGAGAGAGAGAGAGAGAGAGAGAGAGAGGAAAGAGCUUUCCAUCCACCAGACCCUUUUCCACAAGGCACAAACUGGGGAUCUCUUACUAGGACCACACCUUCCUUCAGUACAACCAAUUACCUCAUAUCAUCUCCAGGAGCGGGAAGAGAGAACAACAAGAAAGCCCAGUCCGUAUGAGCAUCUCUGCACCACAGUGUUGUGGAAGUAACAGUACUUAUUCAUUAUAGAAAUCACACAAGUUGGUUAGAUUAUCACUCUAAUUCACUUUGAUCAUCUCAGCAUUUUGGUCACGGUUUUUUUGUUUGUUUGUUUGCUUGCUUUUCCCAGAUUUAAAACAAGUUUUAAAAAGAACAAAAACAUAAAACAAGCCCAAGCCACACGUUAUGCUUGAGUCUUCUACCUACAGGUACAAGCUGUGUGCCAGAAAGCAUUUUUGCCCAAAACCCCACACAAAGCUUCACAGGUAGAUCAGAUGAGCACUGCUCACUAUACUCCACAAACCCCAGCAGCAGGCUUCCAGCAGCCUUGAUAUUUACCUCAGAAGAGCUUCAGUCUCUGGACUGGUGAACUCCCUGCAUCCAUGUCUUCUGCUGUGGUGAGGUUCUUGACAAGAAGCUUAACAAAAUGCCAUCUAACCAGUAGCAUCUACCUCCUUCUCAAGGCUAGCUUUCAUAUUCAGUUCACAUCCAAACCUGCUCUUCCUAUCUGCCAAAGAUUUUGUAGACCUGUAGGCUCUGUUAAUCAGUUCAUUAGAGCCAAAUUUCAGACACCUGUUCUUGCCCACAAGCAACUCCACCUGAGCCACCUUUUACAGCUUCUUGCUGCCCUGAUUUCAUCAGCUGGAAGAGCAGGGCAAGGUGGGUUGGAGCCCUCGUGUGUUCCUACCCUCUCUGGAAGCCUUAUGAGGCGUGCACUCUGCAUCACACAGGAAAGGAAGAGUUAUGCUAGGCUUAUGUAUGCUGACCACUGCUGUUCUCGGUAUUCAAAAAGAGGCUGAAGAGACAAAAGGAAAG
rnacentral:lncRNA from 1 species